UACGAAGGGGGCUAGCGUUGUUCGGAAUUACUGGGCGUAAAGCGCACGUAGGCGGAUACUUAAGUUAGGGGUGAAAUCCCAGAGCUCAACUCUGGAACUGCCUUUAAUACUGGGUAUCUCGAGUCCGGAAGAGGUGAGUGGAAUUCCGAGUGUAGAGGUGAAAUUCGUAGAUAUUAGGAAGAACACCGGUGGCGAAGGCGGCCCACUGGCUCGACACUGACGCUGAGGUGCGAAAGCGUGGGGAGCAAACAGG
rnacentral:rRNA from 1 species